AAAUGGUAUGCUACAUGCUUGUUGGAAUGACCUUAUUAAGUGAAUAGAACCAUGGGUCAUUAACCAAUCCUUGCAACCUUGCUCAAAUGACUGUAGAUGAACUCUACAACAAAAGUCAUGAAGGGUUCAUGUUGAGCUUGUGCCCAGAAAAUACUUCAAUUGGCCUAAAACCUUAAUUCAAGCUUUAUCAAGUUGCUGCAUUG
rnacentral:lncRNA from 1 species